rnacentral:rRNA from 1 species
AUUGAACGCUAGCGGGAUGCUUUACACAUGCAAGUCGAACGAGUGGCGGACGGGUGAGUAAUAUAUCGGAACGUGCCCAGUAGCGGGGGAUAAAUACUCGAAAGAGUGGCUAAUACCGCAUACAUUUGGCACGGCCGAGAUCGGAUUAGCGAGUUGGUGGGGUAAAGGCUCACAAAGGCAACGAUCCGUAGCGGUGUUGAGAGGACGACCAGCCACACUGGGACUGAGACACGGCCCAGACUCCUACGUGAGGCAGCAGUGGGGAAUUUUGGACAAUGGGGGAAACCCUGAGCCAGCCAUCCCGCGUGUAUGAGAAGGCCGUCGGGUUGUAAAGUACUGUUGGCAGAGAAGCGGUAUCUGCAGAAUAAGCACCGGCGAACUACGUGCCAGCAGCCGCGGUAAUAC